UCUUGGUCAUUUAGAGGAAGUAAAAGUCGUAACAAGGUCUCCGUUGGUGAACCAGCGGAGGGAUCAUUAAAGAGUUAUCCAACUCACCAAAACCAUGUGAACUUACCUACGUUGCCUCGGCGGGGAACCUACCCGGGAGCUACCCUAUAAUAGCCUACCCGGUACCUACCCUGUAGUUGUAGGCUUACCCGCCGGCGGACCAUCCAAACUCUUGUUUUUGUUUUGGCACUUCUGAAUUACGAUAACUUAAUAAGUUAAAACUUUCAACAACGGAUCUCUUGGUUCUGGCAUCGAUGAAGAACGCAGCGAAAUGCGAUAAGUAAUGUGAAUUGCAGAAUUCAGUGAAUCAUCGAAUCUUUGAACGCACAUUGCGCCCACUAGUAUUCUAGUGGGCAUGCCUGUUCGAGCGUCAUUUCAACCCUCAAGCCUUAGUUGCUUGGUGUUGGGAGCUUAUCUUGCCGGAAGGCGGGAUAACUCCUUAAAACCAUUGGCGGUGUCGCGGUGACCCCAAGCGUAGUAAAUCUCUCUUUUUUCUCGCUUUAGGAGUCAGCGCCGGCCUCUAGCCGUUAAAACCCCCCUAUUUUUUAAUGGUUGACCUCGGAUCAGGUAGGACUACCCGCUGAACUUAAGCAUAUCAAUAAGCGGAGGAA
rnacentral:rRNA from 1 species